UACGUAGGUGGCAAGCGUCGUCCGGAAUUAUUGGGCGUAAAGCGCGCGCAGGCGGUCCUUUAAGCCUGAUGUGAAAACACACGGCUCAACCGUGGAGGGUCAUUGGAAACUGAGGAACUUGAGUACAGAAGAGGAAAGUGGAAUUCCAUGUGUAGCGGUGAAAUGCGUAGAGAUGUGGAGGAACACCAGUGGCGAAGGCGACUUUCUGGUCUGUAACUGACGCUGAGGCGCGAAAGCGUGGGGAGCAAACAGG
rnacentral:misc_RNA from 1 species